AGAGUUUGAUCCUGGCUCAGAUUGAACGCUGGCGGAAUGCUUUACACAUGCAAGUCGAACGGUAGAGGGGGCAACCCCUUGAGAGUGGCGAACGGGUGAGUAAUAUAUCGGAACGUGCCCAGUCGUGGGGGAUAACGUAGCGAAAGUUACGCUAAUACCGCAUACGAUCUAAGGAUGAAAGCGGGGGAUCGCAAGACCUCGCGCGAUUGGAGCGGCCGAUAUCAGAUUAGGUAGUUGGUGGGGUAAAGGCUCACCAAGCCAACGAUCUGUAGCUGGUCUGAGAGGACGACCAGCCACACUGGAACUGAGACACGGUCCAGACUCCUACGGGAGGCAGCAGUGGGGAAUUUUGGACAAUGGACGCAAGUCUGAUCCAGCCAUUCCGCGUGCAGGAUGAAGGCCCUCGGGUUGUAAACUGCUUUUGUACGGAACGAAAAGGUUUCCAUUAAUACUGGGGGCUCAUGACGGUACCGUAAGAAUAAGCACCGGCUAACUACGUGCCAGCAGCCGCGGUAAUACGUAGGGUGCAAGCGUUAAUCGGAAUUACUGGGCGUAAAGCGUGCGCAGGCGGUUAUGUAAGACAGAGGUGAAAUCCCCGGGCUCAACCUGGGAACUGCCUUUGUGACUGCAUAGCUAGAGUACGGUAGAGGGGGAUGGAAUUCCGCGUGUAGCAGUGAAAUGCGUAGAUAUGCGGAGGAACACCGAUGGCGAAGGCAAUCCCCUGGGCCUGUACUGACGCUCAUGCACGAAAGCGUGGGGAGCAAACAGGAUUAGAUACCCUGGUAGUCCACGCCCUAAACGAUGUCAACUGGUUGUUGGGUCUUCACUGACUCAGUAACGAAGCUAACGCGUGAAGUUGACCGCCUAGGG
rnacentral:rRNA from 1 species